rnacentral:rRNA from 1 species
UACAGAGGUCUCAAGCGUUGUUCGGAUUCAUUGGGCGUAAAGGGUGCGUAGGCGGCGCGGUAAGUCGGGUGUGAAAUCUCGGAGCUUAACUCCGAAACUGCAUUCGAUACUGCGGUGCUUGAGGACUGGAGAGGAGACUGGAAUUCAUGGUGUAGCAGUGAAAUGCGUAGAGAUCAUGAGGAAGACCAGUGGCGAAGGCGGGUCUCUGGACAGUUCCUGACACUGAGACACGAAGGCCAGGGAGCAAACGGG